UACGUAGGGUGCGAGCGUUAGUCGGAAUUACUGGGCGUAAAGCGUGCGCAGGCGGUUUUGUAAGUCAGAUGUGAAAUCCCCGGGCUUAACCUGGGAACUGCGUUUGAAACUACAAGGCUAGAGUGUAGCAGAGGGGGGUGGAAUUCCACGUGUAGCAGUGAAAUGCGUAGAGAUGUGGAGGAACACCGAUGGCGAAGGCAGCCCCCUGGGUCGAUACUGACGCUCAUGCGCGAAAGCGUGGGGAGCAAACAGG
rnacentral:rRNA from 1 species